rnacentral:SRP_RNA from 1 species
GCCGGGUGUGGUGGCGCACACCUGUAGUCCCAGCUACUCGGGAGGCUGAGGCAGGAGAAUCACUUGAACCCAGGAGGUGGAGGUUGCAGUGAGCCAAGAUUGCACCACUGCACUCCAUCCUGGGUGACAGAGUGAGACUCUGCCUCAA